UACGGCCAUAUCACGUUGAAACACCGGUUCUCGUAGGAUUACCGAAGUUAAGCAACGUUCAGCCUGGUCAGUAUCUAGAUGGGUGACUACUUGAGAAUAUCAUGUGCUGUAA